GCUUGGCUCCACCUCUGCUUUUAAGAGCUGACUACAACUACAGAAGGAUCUCUUUCUGGAGAUCCCUCCUCCUGGAGUUUUACAGCUUGCCCAGGACACAGGAAAAAAAACAAAUAAGUGACUCCAUUGGUGACAACUGUGCAAGCUAACUUGAAAUUGUUGUCCUGCUUCUCUAAUGGGACAGUACUUAUAUGAAGGAAGCAUCCACUUCCCCCUUCCAAGUCUGAUACAGAUUAAUGACAGAUACGCAAAGAAGUGAAUGCACAGAAGCAGCAGAAUGCAAGCACAACUGUAAUGGAAAGGAAGCAUCUCUCUCAAGCUGGCUCUGUUGCUCCAUUUGGUUUUAAAUGCUGAGGGUCAGCUUUGCUGUUGGAGAAAAUGAGCAAUAUGUUGACUGAGAAUUCCCACAGACCAAGUGCAUGGCAUCUAUCAGAAGAUUCCACACAGACUCUCCAUUCAAAAUACUUCUCCCUGCAGCUCAAUCAAAACCACCUGAGA